rnacentral:tRNA from 1 species
GCCCCCGUAGCAUAGUGGAAAUGCACUCGCCUUCUAAGCGAGCUUACGCAGGUUCGAAUCCUGCCGGGGGUG